UCCCAGAGUUCUGGGAUUACAGGUGUGAGCCAUCUUGCUCAUUCUAGUUUAAACUUUUGAGUGGUUUGUGUCUCCUGAUUGGACUCCUACAAAUACAGAAUUGAUGCUAGGAAGGGUACCAGGAGAUAGACGCACACAGAUGGGAUUUGGGAAUAGGUUUGGUUAUCCAAGGAGCAGUGCUGAGCUCCUUGCAAUGGGAUAUGGGAUGCUGGUGAUUUCCAGGAAGUGCGCUCACAAUGACUCAAGCUGCCACAUACUGUUGAUUGUGAAAUGCCAGUUGAAGCAUAUGUCCUGCAAGCUUAGGGGUGCUACAAGUUGACCACUGCAGCAGUAAAGAUGACUCUGAAGAACGGCGUGGGAUGGUUCCUUUCAAAUGCACUUGAGCAGCGGUCUCCAACCACAGGGCCACAGAGCUGGAGCUGGAUCUACCAUGAAAGACUUGUGAAUCCAGGAAGAGAGACUGACUGGGCAACAUGUUAUUCAGGUACAAAAAGAUUUGGACUGUAACUUAAAAAUGAUCAAAUUAUGUUUCCCAUGCAUCAGGUGCAAUGGGAAGCUCUUCU
rnacentral:lncRNA from 1 species